rnacentral:lncRNA from 1 species
UAUUAUUGCAGUUAUAGAAGGUCAUGACUGACCUUUGAAACACUUGGGCACACCAAAGGUUGGUGAUUCGAAUCAAAGAUUAGUGUAUGCUAUGUUACGUUGUUUCCCUCAUCUGAUUAUUGUUGCUGUCGGGUUAACAUGAAUGCUAAGUUAUAGGCGUCUUGACUAAUUAAUAAAUGAAACCGAAGAGGAUGGGCAGAAAGCAAACUAAUUUUAUGUACGCCCAACAUUGUUUCUUUGGAUGCUUAUAUGAAUGGUUUUAAACUUUUAAUGGAUGAGCUGAUGGCAUAACUUGGUUCUCCUCUUACAGAUAAGCGCAUUCAUGUUCUGAAGCAAUGUCUUCUUGAACGUGUAUAGGAAAUAAGCUCGAUGCAUUUAUUUUAGCACUUAGAUACUCUUUUGCUUACAUGUCUACCGGGAAGAUACAAUGUCCUACAAGUUCGAAUACAGAGCUACCACUAUAAAUUCUACUUGGUUGCAUCUGACCUAAUGUUAUUCAUUUCCUUCUGCUCCAGACAAGACAAGCAGCAGCGGCGACGCCAGACCAGUCACCCCCGCACCUCCAGUUUUCCUUCAGGGCAACUAACCACUGGCAAAUGUUUCUGUCAUUUCUUUCGCUUGUGAUUCCUCUCGUUGGGACCAUGGUUGUUGCCUUUCCCUCUGCCUGUAAAAUCGUACUGCAGAGGCAUCUAGCACCCAGCAUGAACAUCGGUGUGAGGUCUUCGAUCGAGGCUCCUCUGGACCAGCAUCGUCUGCUAGCGCACGCGUGCCUGCUUAUGUGUAGAUUGACUGAUCUAGCCUCCACCUAAAUUUCCUGCAAUUACGAUUCAGCAAGAGAUCAUAGAUAGUCUAAUUUGUUUUCCCAAAACCUGAGUUCAACGAUGGAGUUAGAUACAGAUUAUCCAUAUGCAUAUUCUGUCCAUAUUACUGUCCUGAACAGAUAGCCUGAUUGUUCCACUUAAUUUAGGUCACUAAUUACAUGCAAAUAGUACUACACUAUACGUCUAAUUUUUCUGCAAUUGCUUCAUUAGAUAGCCUGAGUGUUCAAAAAAUUGUUCUAUACUUUGUCUUUGUCUUCCCUGAUUUUAAUUAACCCUGUUGAGCUUCUUUAUGACGUAGGCUGAGCCUUGUGUUGGGAGGAUCCCAGGCUGAAUGAUGCUUGAUCUCCUUUUGGAGGAGCUUAUGUUUACCGCAGCCCGUUAUAGUCGAAGGGGCUGUUUAAGUAACACCAUGAGUUCAUUUACUGGUGUUCGAUCCUCCGAUGAGGCAGCGGCGGAAGACUUGCCUUUUUGAAGCCAUCAGGACCAUCGAAAAUGCCACAAGCACAGUGGUUAAAGAUCUGAAUUAUGGACGCUUAAACAAGAUGGAACAAGACUUUGGUUAUCUAAGGCUCAGGCUCAAUGAAGCAUUUGACACAAUAGACAGGGUUGCCAAAGGAUAUUUGUAUGCUAUAAGAUACAUGCCAGCUUUCUUACACCAGCUUCAUAAUGUGAUAGCACAUGCUUUUCCUCCUACUCGUGUUGUGGACAAGUCAACAAAUGAGGCUCUCAAGAAUAUUGAGGUGGUAGCUCAUAAUCUCAGGACAGAAGCAAUAGUCUUGAGAACAAGCUAUAUGUGAGAAGGCAGAGUCAAGCGCGUGAACAUGAGGUAUUUGCACCUGUGGCUUUCUUUGGUCGUGACGUUUAAGAUAAGCGCGUGAACAUGCGUAGCUUGAUUUCGGACUAAAUCCUUUGUAGUUGCGUGGACCAACUUCUAUAUACUAAAUAUGUAUAGCUUGCUUUUGAACUGAACCUGUUGUUUCCUGAACCAAUUGCUAUGUAUUGAAUGUGUAUAUAUCGAUGCAAUGCUUCAAAUAUAAACUUGGUAUAUUAGAUUGAUAAAUAUAACUAAAUUAUGUUAUUUUUAUAUUUAC